AUUUAUUUACCUCAUUAAUGAGGGAACUGGGAAGAUGGUGAGUCUGGUUCAAAAAAUAGUUGCAAAAAUCAAAGUAUUUAUAGUGGCUUAAAGAAAGGAUAGUAGAAUAAGAAUGCUAAUUAAAAUACAAAACUAGUUAAUAUUCUGGAGGAUGCUAAAACUGUGACCUCUGGGGUUCAUCUCUUUUUAUAGGACAUAAAUCGUUUCAUCUCUCGAACAAAAUUCACUUGUAUUGCUAUCAGAAAAUAAUCAUGUGCAUCUGCUUCUACAAGUGAAUGACAACCAUUACAGAGAUAUAAGAUAUCAUAAUCAUUACUAAAAUAGCAAGUCAAGCAAAAGAACUCACCUUUAGGGAACUGGAUAAUAUUUCUGUGAACUUCAAUACUUAGCAUAACACUGAAAGGAGGCCCAGUAAUCUCUUUGCCUAUUUCUAAGAUUUCGAUACCUUUUCUUAACAUUUGCUUGAAAGCUGAACUACUUCCUGAUUCAACAGGACAUGGCUCAUCUCUUCUGAAGGUUGCCACUAACUGACCUGAAGUCACCUUUCCCCAGGCUGCUAUUCUGCUCUCCCAACAAGUUAACCUCCAUUGUUGAGUCAGUGACCAAGCAUCCAGUUUCGCUCAGUGACCAACCAUCCAGUUUCAUCUGAGUCUAAAAGAUUUCCAGGGACAUGGGACCUUUAGAACUAGAACCAGAAAAUUCUGGGCAAACCAGGACAAAUUGGUCAUCCUAGCCAAAGAAGAAAGAAAGAAAGAAAGAAAGAAAGAAAGAAAGAAAGAAAGAAAGAAAGAAAGAAAGAAAGAAACCCUCAAAACUGGACAUUACAUAAAACCACCCCAAGAAUCCCCUGGCCAAACCAUUCCAACAUAACUGCUUGUGAACAUCUCUACCCUUAGGUCCCAGUAUCCCACCAUGUUAUAUGGAGCUCCUACACAUACUAGUGUUGUCAGCAUGACUGUCCUGCUCAGAAUUCAGGACCAGGACUCCCUCAAGGACUCCAGAAAAUGCGAAAGUGGAGAGUUUUUCAUUCUGAAAGGAAACAAACUUCAGAGGGAAUUGCACAUUCACCUAUUUGAUAUAAUUCUAACAAUGUGUCCAUCCACCCAGAUUGGCCAGUCAAGCAUCACAUGCCUCCAAAAUUAAUGAUUAUUCCAGAAGCAGACACUUGACCUAAACAGAGCCGAUCAACUCUUCUCUGGCAAUUAAUAUGAACUCUGGAUGAUGGGAGCUCUCCUUCUGUUUAUAUAACUCUUGUCUCUCCAGGGACAACAUUGACACCACAUGUAGAAAGCCUGCCUGAAGGGAAAAUACAGAAGAGAAGAGCCAAGAGAUAGAGAAAAAAAGAAAAAGGAAAAGAUAUGCUGCAUAGAAUCAAGUCCUAAACUAGCAAUAACCAUCUGGAUUAUCAGUUAUACUUGCCAAUACAUUUCAUUUUCUUGUUAAAUCAAUUUAAUUGAACUUCUGAUCCUAGCAACCCAAAGACAAGAGAGAUGAUCUAGAGUAUGCAAAUUUUGAUCAGGAUAACCAAAUAGACAAAAUAAAGUAAGCACAGGCAUCUCUGCA
rnacentral:lncRNA from 1 species